GACGAACGCUGGCGGCGUGCCUAAUACAUGCAAGUAGAACGCUGAAGAGAGGAGCUUGCUCUUCUUGGAUGAGUUGCGAACGGGUGAGUAACGCGUAGGUAACCUGCCUGGUAGCGGGGGAUAACUAUUGGAAACGAUAGCUAAUACCGCAUAAAAUUGAUUAUUGCAUGAUAAUUAAUUGAAAGAUGCAACUGCAUCACUACCAGAUGGACCUGCGUUGUAUUAUCUAGUUGGUGAGGUAACGGCUCACCAAGGCGACGAUACAUAGCCGACCUGAGGGGUGAUCGGCCACACUGGGACUGAGACACGGCCCAGACUCCUACGGGAGGCAGCAGUAGGGAAUCUUCGGCAAUGGGGGGAACCCUGACCGAGCAACGCCGCGUGAGUGAAGAAGGUUUUCGGAUCGUAAAGCUCUGUUGUAAGAGAAGAACGGGUGUGAGAGUGGAAAGUUCACACUGUGACGGUAUCUUACCAGAAAGGGACGGCUAACUACGUG
rnacentral:rRNA from 1 species